UACGAAGGGUGCAAACGUUGCUCGGAAUCAUUGGGCGUAAAGCGCACGUAGGCGGCUUGCCAAGUCGGACGUGAAAUCCCUCAGCUCAACUGAGGACGUGCAUCCGAAACUGGCGAGCUUGAGUACUGAAGAGGAUCGCGGAAUUCCCGGUGUAGAGGUGAAAUUCGUAGAUAUCGGGAGGAACACCAGUGGCGAAGGCGGCGAUCUGGACCACAACUGACGCUGAGGCGCGAAAGCUAGGGGAGCAAACAGG
rnacentral:rRNA from 1 species